GACAGAGGGUGCGAACGUUGUUCGGAAUUACUGGGCGUAAAGCGCAUGUAGGCGGCAGCGCAAGUCGGGCGUGAAAUCCCACGGCUCAACCGUGGAAGUGCACUCGAAACUGCGCAGCUAGAGUCCUGGAGAGGAAGGUGGAAUGCUUGGUGUAGCGGUGAAAUGCGCAGAUAUCAGGAGGAACACCAAUGGCGAAGGCAGCUCGCUGGAACGGUACUGACGCUGUGGCGCGAAAGCGUGGGGAGCAAACAGG
rnacentral:rRNA from 1 species